rnacentral:rRNA from 1 species
AACGAACGCUGGCGGCAGGCUUAACACAUGCAAGUCGAGCGCCCGCAAGGGAGCGGCAGACGGGUGAGUAACGCGUGGGAAUCUACCCAGUUCUACGGAAUAACACAGGGAAACUUGUGCUAAUACCGUAUACGCCCUACGGGGGAAAGAUUUAUCGGAAUUGGAUGAGCCCGCGUUGGAUUAGCUAGUUGGUAGGGUAAUGGCCUACCAAGGCGACGAUCCAUAGCUGGUCUGAGAGGAUGAUCAGCCACACUGGGACUGAGACACGGCCCAGACUCCUACGGGAGGCAGCAGUGGGGAAUAUUGGACAAUGGGCGAAAGCCUGAUCCAGCCAUGCCGCGUGAGUGAUGAAGGCCUUAGGGUUGUAAAGCUCUUUCAGUGGGGAAGAUAAUGACGGUACCCACAGAAGAAGCCCCGGCUAACUUCGUGCCAGCCGCCGCCGUAACAC